ACUAGUAAACACAAGUGUUUCUCUAAGUUCUAUGAGAAACUUAGGGGGUCCUGAGAACACUGAUUCAUAGGUAAGUAGUCAGAAUUCCAGGAAACAGCUGGCACUGUGAUGGGCAUCUGGUGCAGGGAGACAGUCUCAUGGGACAUAACUUGCAGAGCCUGAUACCAGCUCCAUAAAGAUAGUGUCAGAACUGACUUGAAUGGUAGGACAUCCAGCUGGUGUCAGAUAAUUGGCUGGUAUGGGAAGAACCCACACAUUUGGUAUUGGAAUUGUUGUUAGUAGAGAUGUAACAGAGUUUUUCCUUAUACGUAUGGCAUCCUCACAUCUGUGGAGGCUUACUCCACACUUCCUAAGCUAUUUUAAGGAAAAUCAUAACAAAGCCCAACCCCAAAAUCAAAUCUCAACAUCCACACAGUAUUGCAUCUAUUUCCUUAAGUGGAUGAGUCGUCCUGUUCACAUUGUGUUUUCAUAACUCCACCCCCACCAGAUCUCAUGAAGAGAAGCAUCCAGCUGCAUGAAGCACAAGAGAAUUCUCGGGACACACGGGCAUGCUGGCCCCUGACUGCCCACCCUUCCCUUAUGUUACAGGAGGCAGUGCCUGGGAUGCUGGGACUUCACUGUGUCCAGCCAGGGUCCCCAGCCACCACUGAGUCAGAGACGUGACUCUGAGUGACCCCGCUGAGCCUCAGGACUCUCAGCUGCAAAACAGAGACCAGAGACCCCAUCACAGGCUUGUCGGGCUGAGUGGGAGAAUCCUUUCACUCAAGAAAGUCUCAAGGCCUGACCAUGAUCAUAAUGAGAGACUUGCCCCUUCAGCAUUGCUUCCAAGUGGGAGCAGAAUUCCUGGCUCCAAGGAGGCAGCCACGACAUAAGAAAGGAGGUGAAGAUGUGUUCAGUGUGACCCUGUGUGUCCCGGCAUGUUCCAAGACAGUCUUACCCUUUCUAAAGGGUAUCAUCACAUAUGAUCAGAUAGACAGUAGACUCAGGAGAGCCUGAGGCCAGGUUCAGGAGUUCAGAGCAGAGCCCCAGCUCGGCCCUCAGCAGCUUCCAGCCUGCACACUACCAGGUGCUGGUCAGUGGAGUGGACACAGUGGCCAGACUGUGAACUCCUUGAAGGCAGGGUUUCUUUCUCUACUUCUUGGUAUCCACAGAGACUAGCAUAAUGUCUACAAUGUAAUGGAUGGUCAGUAAACAUUUAAAUAUUU